GACGAACCGAGCGAACGUUGUUCGGAAUCACUGGGCUUAAAGGGUGCGUAGGCGGGCUGCCAAGUUUGGGGUGAAAUCUCCGCGUCACCACGGGGAAGUGCCUCGAAUACUGGCGGUCUGGAGGGAGGUAGGGGCGUGCGGAACUAACGGUGGAGCGGUGAAAUGCGUUGAUAUCGUUAGGAACUCCGGUGGCGAAGGCGGCACGCUAGACCUCUUCUGACGCUGAGGCACGAAAGCCAGGGGAGCGAACGGGG
rnacentral:rRNA from 1 species